CCUACGGGAGGCAGCAGUGAGGAAUAUUGGUCAAUGGACGAGAGUCUGAACCAGCCAAGUAGCGUGAAGGAUGACUGCCCUAUGGGUUGUAAACUUCUUUUGUCAAGGGACAAAAUCAGGCUCGAGAGCCUGACCGAGGGUACUUGAAGAAAAAGCAUCGGCUAACUCCGUGCCAGCAGCCGCGGUAAUACGGAGGAUGCGAGCGUUAUCCGGAUUGAUUGGGUUUAAAGGGUGCGUAGGCGGACUGUUAAGUCAGCGGUAAAAGCCCGGGGCUCAACCCCGGCGAGCCGUUGAAACUGGCUGUCUUGAGAUGUCGAGAGGUAUGCGGAAUGCGCAGUGUAGCGGUGAAAUGCUUAGAUAUUGCGCAGAACUCCGAUUGCGAAGGCAGCAUACCGGCGGCGAUCUGACGCUGAGGCACGAAAGCGUGGGUAUCGAACAGGAUUAGAUACCCCAGUAGUC
rnacentral:rRNA from 1 species